AGAGGUUCUAUUAUACGCUUUAUGGUAAAAAGGUAGUUAAGCAUUUGAAAUUAAAAUAGUUUAUUAACUAUUUAUAUAAGGGUAAAAUCUAAAUAUAAAUAAAUAAUUUAAUAUAGACUAGUUUAUAUGCUGAUUCUGCGAAAGCCUUGAGGGAAACUGGGAUUAGAUACCCCAUUAUUCUCGGGUGUAAAUUGAUGUAAAUCUACCAGAGCACUAUGAAUUUCUAAAUAAAUUUAAAACUCAAAGGGCUUGGCGGUGUUUUAGACCCCUCAGGGGAACCUGUCUCAUAAUCGACAAUCCACGCUAGACCUAACCUUUUUUUGCUAUUUCAGUUUGUAUACCGUCGUCGUCAGGUAACUUUUAAAAAAUGAGAAGUUAGCUAAAAAGUGAUAUUUAAACUUAAACGUCAGAUCAAGGUGCAGCCAAUAUAAAGGUGAGGAUGGGUUACAAUUAUAAAUUAUAACUACGGAAAGGUAGUUGAAAAAUUACCUUAUGAAGGAGGACUUGAAAGUAAAAUAAACUAUAUAAACAUUUUGAAUAAGGCUCUGAAGCAUGC
rnacentral:rRNA from 1 species